rnacentral:rRNA from 1 species
UACGUAGGUGGCUAGCGUUGUCCGGAUUUACUGGGCGUAAAGAGCGCGCAGGCGGUCGUUCAAGUCGAGUGUGAAAGCCCCCGGCUCAACUGGGGAGGGUCACUCGAUACUGAUCGACUCGAAGGCAGGAGAGGGAAGCGGAAUUCCCGGUGUAGCGGUGAAAUGCGCAGAUAUCAGGAGGAACACCGGUGGCGAAGGCGGGUCUCUGGGCAACAACUGACGCUGAGGAGCGAAAGCGUGGGGAGCGAACAGG